CGGAUGGGUUACUGUAUUCAACACAGCUGGGUUACUGUAUUCUAAUAUGGAUGGGUUCUGUAUUCUAACACGGAUGGGUUACUGUAUUCCAACAUGGCUGGGUUACUGUAUUCUAACACGGAUGGGUUACUGUAUUCCAACAUGGCUGGGUUACUGUAUUCUAACACAGCUGGGUUACUGUAUUUAAUAUAGCUGGGUUACUGUAUUCUAAUAUGGCUGGGUUACUGUAUUCUAACACGGCUGGGUUACUGUAUUCUAACACGGCUGGGUUACUGUAUUCUAAUAUGGAUGGGUUACUGUAUUCUAACACAUCUGUAUUCCAACAUGGCUGGGUUACUGUAUUCUAACACGGAUGGGUUACUGUAUUCCAACACAGCUGGGUUACUGUAUUCUAACACGGAUGGGUUACUGUAUUCCUACAUGGCUGGGUUACUGUAUUCCAACAUGGCUGGGUUACUGUAUUCUAACACGGCGUGGUUACUGUAUUCUAAUAUGGCUGGGUUACUGUAUUCUAAUAUGGCACAUUACUGUAUUGUAAUAUGGCUGGGUUACUGUAUUCUAACAAGGCUGGGUUACUGUAUUCACACACGGCUGGGUUACUGUAUUCCUACAUGGCUGGGUUACUGUAUUCUAACAAGGCUGGGUUACUGUAUUCACACACGGCUGGGUUACUGUAUUCCUACAUGGCUGGGUUACUGUAUUCCAACAUGGCUGGGUUACUGUAUUCUAACACGGAUGGGUUACUGUAUUCUAACACGGAUGGGUUACUGUAUUCUAACACGGAUGGGUUACUGUAUUCUAACACGGCUGGGUUACUGUAUUCCUACAUGGCUGGGUUACUGUAUUCUAACAUGGCUGGGUUCCUGUAUUCUAAUAUGGCUGGGUUACUGUAUUCUAAUAUGGCUGGGUUACUGUAUUCUAAUAUGGCUGGGUUACUGUAUUCCAACACGGAUGGGUUACUGUAUUCCAACAUGGCUGGGUUACUGUAUUCUAACAUGGCUGGGUUACUGUAUUCCAACAUGGCUGGGUUACUGUAUUCCAACAUGGCUGGGUUACUGUAUUCUAACAUGGCUGGGUUACUGUAUUCUAACAUGGCUGGGUUACUGUAUUCCAACAUGGCUGGGUUACUGUAUUCUAACAUGGCUGGGUUACUGUAUUCCAACAUGGCUGGGUUACUGUAUUCUAACAUGGCUGGGUUACUGUAUUCCUACAUGGCUGGGUUACUGUAUUCCUACAUGGCUGGGUUACUGUAUUCCUACAUGGCUGGGUUACUGUAUUCCUACAUGGCUGGGUUACUGUUUUCUAAUAUGGCUGGGUUACUGUAUUCCUACAUGGCUGGGUUACUGUAUUCCAACAUGGCUGGGUUACUGUAUUCCAACAUGGCUGGGUUACUGUAUUCCAACAUGGCUGGGUUACUGUAUUCCACUGUCUCCUGUCCUGUCAGUCUAUACUAUCAGUAUUGCAGAGAAGAUGACAGUGUUGAUGAGAAACAGGGAGGAAGAGAGAGAGAAAUAGAAUGGGGAGGAAGGGAUAUUGGUUUCCCCUAUGACCCCCAACCUAGGGUGCUGUUUUCAAUGUGCAUGCUAGCCGUGUGCGUGCGCACGUUUGUAAGUUUGUGGAAGACCAGCAUCCCUGUGUGAUUAUGGUUUGGUCAGGUACAUUUACAUUUGUAUUCAACCUUUAUUUAACAAGGCAAGUCAGUUAAGAACAAAUUAUUAUUUACAAUGACGGCCUAGGAACAGUGGGUUAACUGGUCUAGGAACAGUGGGUUAACUGGUCUAGGAACAGUGGGUUAACUGGUCUAGGAACAGUGGGUUAACUGGUCUAGGAACAGUGGGUUAACUGGUCUUG
ensembl:lncRNA